AAAAGUUAAAAAUUAUACAAAUUAGAUGUCUUUAAGUCAUCAUAGGAUGAAAUGCAUCCUAUAAUACUCAAGGAGCUGACUGAGGAGAUAUCUGAGCCAUUAGUGAUUAUCUUUGAAAAGUCAUGGAAGACUGGAGAGAUUCCAGAAGACUGGAAAAGGGCAAAUAUAGUGCCAAUCUA